rnacentral:rRNA from 1 species
UACAGGGGGUGCAAACGUUGCUCGGAAUCAUUGGGCGUAAAGCGCACGUAGGCGGUCUGUUAUGUCGGAUGUGAAGGCCCUUGGCUUAACUGAGGAAGUGCAUCCGAAACUGGCAGGCUAGAGUACUAAAGAGGGUCGCGGAAUUCCCGGUGUAGAGGUGAAAUUCGUAGAUAUCGGGAGGAACACCGGUGGCGAAGGCGGCGACCUGGGUCGAUACUGACGCUGAUGCGCGAAAGCGUGGGGAGCAAACAGG